rnacentral:rRNA from 1 species
AACAGGAUUAGAUACCCUGGUAGUCCACGCCGUAAACGAUGUCGACUUGGAGGUUGUGCCCUUGAGGCGUGGCUUCCGGAGCUAACGCGUUAAGUCGACCGCCUGGGGAGUACGGCCGCAAGGUUAAAACUCAAAUGAAUUGACGGGGGCCCGCACAAGCGGUGGAGCAUGUGGUUUAAUUCGAUGCAACGCGAAGAACCUUACCUGGCCUUGACAUCCACGGAAUUCUGCAGAGAUGCGGAAGUGCCUUCGGGAACCGUGAGACAGGUGCUGCAUGGCUGUCGUCAGCUCGUGUUGUGAAAUGUUGGGUUAAGUCCCGCAACGAGCGCAGCCCUUAUCCUUUGUUGCCAGCGAUUCGGUCGGGAACUCAAAGGAGACUGCCGGUGAUAAACCGGAGGAAGGUGGGGAUGACGUCAAGUCAUCAUGGCCCUUACGGCCAGGGCUACACACGUGCUACAAUGGCGCAUACAAAGAGAAGCGACCUCGCGAGAGCAAGCGGACCUCAUAAAGUGCGUCGUAGUCCGGAUCGGAGUCUGCAACUCGACUCCGUGAAGUCGGAAUCGCUAGUAAUCGUGGAUCAGAACGCCACGGUGAAUACGUUCCCGGGCCUUGUACACACCGCCCGUCACACCAUGGGAGUGGGUUGCAAAAGAAGUAGGUAGCUUAACCCUCGGGAGGGCGCUUACCACUUUGUGAUUCAUGACUGGGGUGAAGUCGUAACAAGGUAACC